rnacentral:rRNA from 1 species
GGUGUGGCCGAUGACUGGGGUGAAGUCGUAACAAGGUAGCCGUAGGGGAACCUGCGGCUGGAUCACCUCCUUAACGAA